CAGUAGCCGCGGUAAUACGGAGGGUGCGAGCGUUAAUCGGAAUUACUGGGCGUAAAGCGUACGCAGGCGGUUUGUUAAGUCAGAUGUGAAAUCCCCGGGCUCAACCUGGGACCUGCAUUUGUGACUGUAUAGCUAGAGUACGGUAGAGGGGGAUGGAAUUCCGCGUGUAGCAGGGAAAUGCGUAGAUAUGCGGAGGAACACCGAUGGCGAAGGCAAUCCCCUGGACCUGUACUGACGCUCAUGCACGAAAGCGUGGGGAGCAAACAGGAUUAGAUACCCCGGUAGUCCCUGUCUCUUAUAC
rnacentral:rRNA from 1 species